UACAUGGGGUGCAAACGUUGCUCGGAAUCAUUGGGCGUAAAGCGCGCGUAGGCGGUUCCUUAAGUCGGAUGUGAAAGCCCUCGGCUUAACUGAGGAAGUGCAUCCGAAACUGAGUAGCUGGAGUACGAAAGAGGGUCGCGGAAUUCCCGGUGUAGAGGUGAAAUUCGUAGAUAUCGGGAGGAACACCGGUGGCGAAGGCGGCGACCUGGGUCGAGACUGACGCUGAGGCGCGAAAGCGUGGGGAGCAAACAGG
rnacentral:rRNA from 1 species